CUACCUUUUCUCCUAAGUCAAAGUUUUCAAAAUUUGACCAACUUUAUAAAAAAGAGUAGUGACAUAUAUGACAUUAGAUUGGUAUAUUAUGAAAGUACAUUUCAAAGCGGAUCUAGUGAUACUAAUUUAGUGCCAUAUAUGUUGCUACUUUUCUUUAUAAAGUUGGUCAAAAUUUUAAAACUUUGACUUAGGACAAAAGCUAGA
rnacentral:pre_miRNA from 1 species